rnacentral:piRNA from 1 species
UGAAUAUGUUCUGCUUACCUGGUC